UUUUGAUGGGUCGCAAACCUAAUUGCUAGGCCUCUGAACGCGUCGGCGAAGACAGUUUGCCGAUCCGACGAGCGAGCACGGAGAAAUCGCCGAAUCGAGUACUCGAGGGCUCGCUUCGCCCCGAGGAGUUAAAACGACGCGCAAAGACCGAAGCGUCGAGUUUUCUACCGUCGCGGCAUCGCCAAGAGGUGGGUGGUGACCAUCCCGAAGCAACUGGGCCCCCUUCUAUGUCUUAGUACACUUUGAUUCUUGCAUCUUGUAUUAUUGCAUUAUAGGAUGAUUGUGCAUUGCCUUUCCUUAUACUUUCCUUGAUGAUAUCGUAGCAUGUACUGGAUACUUGAUAUAGUGGAUUGAUAAGGAUUGGGUCGAGACUUGUGAAUCCUAUAGUGUAGUGAUGAAAGUAUGAU
rnacentral:lncRNA from 1 species